rnacentral:misc_RNA from 1 species
UAACCCUCAAGCCUAGCUUGGUGUUGGAGCAUGCUACUUAGCAGCUCUUAAAAUCAGUGGCAGUGCCCUUCGGCUCUAAGCGUAGUAACUUCUCUCGCUAUGGAAACCGGGUGGCAUGCGCCAAAACCCCCAACUUUCUAA